GGCGUUCCCCUGCCGCCGCCUCCUAUGUGAACAUCUUCUUCACAUCUCCCACCGCAGCAGUCUCCUGGCGCCGCCUCCGAUCUUUGCAUCUUCUUCACAUCUAUCUCCGGAUAUACCAAAACAAGGAGGAAGUAGAGAGGAAGGGGUGUCAUGGCUAGCCGGUUUGUGAAUCUCGCGGUCAAGCACAUGAACGGCCGCCAUAUUCCUUUCAGCAUACACCGUAUUAAUCCGGCAGAUUUCUUUUACCCAACCGGAUCGCCAGUUCCCAAACAAGGUUCAGCUUUUGUACCACCGGACGAAAUUCAGCUGCCUCCGGCCACCAUCGCCUUCGACUGGCCCUCCCGGCAGGGCCAACCCUGCUCAAUGGAUUUCAUGGCCUUCGGCGCCAACCGGGAUAAGAUCGUCGCCGUGGACAGCAUAGGGUGCUCCUACCUUUACGACGCUCCCGUACGCAGUAUCAGCACCAAUAUGCCCAUGAUGCCCACGCGCAUGCUACAACCCAUGUCCAUUGCUGUCGGUGACAACGGCCUGUUAGUUAUGAGUAAAGCCGAUCACCAGUUCGUGGCUCUGAAUGAUGGCUGCGACCCCAAUUCCAGAUAUUUAUUACCAAUGUCUGGCUGGUACUGGCAGUCCCUCAAGCCGCCUCCCUUCCCCAGCCGCUCCUACCACCAGAACGAGAAAGGCAGUCACCAUCCAUUUGAAGUCAGCUCUUACACGGUAGUUGGCAAUUCACAGUUCUGGGUGUCCACAGUGGGUGCAGGCACGUUUUCCUUUGAUAUGAACAGCGGUGCGUGGAUGAAGGCUGGCAAUUGGGAGCUGCCAUUCAGAGGUCGUGCCGAGUAUGUCCCCGAGCACAAUCUCUGGUUUGGCAUGUUUGGCAAAGACGACCAGCUUUGCGCAUCUGACCUCAUUGCCGUGUCCGCAGUGAGCUCACCAGUGCCACAUAUACUUUGGAAAGAGCUGGUUUGGCCGAAAGAUUGGAAGCUCAGGUCGACCCACCUCCUGCCUCUUGGUUCUAGCAGACUCUGCAUUGCCAGGUUCUUCCUAACUUCAGAUGAUGACAAGGAAGAGAACAUGUCAGACUAUAAGCGCAGCACAACAAAUAAUUUUGGGGUGCUCACGGGGGUGGAAGUGGUGUCUGAUGAAGGAGGACUGCGCAUUAUCCAUCACAAGUCCAUUCGCUUCGAUUUCGGCCUCAGCAUUGCUAGUGUGCUGUGAUACGUUGACUCCUCUAGUGCAGGUACGGAAUUGGAGAAAGCUUGGCUGCAUGCUGGUCGGGUAUCACCAUGUCGGGAGUAGUAACCACAAGGCACACACUUGUGAUGCUACCCUUUGUUAUUGAUAAUAUGAGUCCUUAGCUAUCUGUUCAACUAAAAAAAAAGUUGUUAUCUGUUGGACAUGUUUGUGAGAUUGUAUAAUUACAUAUGUAUUAUGAAGUUGCUAGUUUCAGUAGAAUAGAAGUUUUGUAUCUUAGGGUACGCUAGGUUUUAGCCCAAGAUUGCCCUGUCGAAUAUUUGACUAAAAUUGCUCGGGAAAAAUGAAAUGUGGGCGAAGGGGCAUUGACAUGACGAAACAUUGGC
rnacentral:rRNA from 1 species